rnacentral:rRNA from 1 species
AAACCGCAUGGUUUUGAUUUGAAAAGGCGCUUUCGGGUGUCGCUGAUGGAUGGACCCGCGGUGCAUUAGCUAGUUGGUGAGGUAACGGCUCACCAAGGCCACGAUGCAUAGCCGACCUGAGAGGGUGAUCGGCCACAUUGGGACUGAGACACGGCCCAAACUCCUACGGGAGGCAGCAGUAGGGAAUCUUCGGCAAUGGACGAAAGUCUGACCGAGCAACGCCGCGUGAGUGAAGAAGGUUUUCGGAUCGUAAAACUCUGUUGUUAGAGAAGAACAAGGAUGAGAGUAACUGUUCGUCCCUUGACGGUAUCUAACCAGAAAGCCACGGCUAACUACGUGCCAGCAGCCGCGGUAAUACGUAGGUGGCAAGCGUUGUCCGGAUUUAUUGGGCGUAAAGCGAGCGCAGGCGGUUUCUUAAGUCUGAUGUGAAAGCCCCCGGCUCAACCGGGGAGGGUCAUUGGAAACUGGGAGACUUGAGUGCAGAAGAGGAGAGUGGAAUUCCAUGUGUAGCGGUGAAAUGCGUAGAUAUAUGGAGGAACACCAGUGGCGA